CUUUUUGAUGAUAAUUUAAGGUCUAACCUGCCCAAUGAAAAUAUUUAAAUGGCCGCGGUAUUUUGACCGUGCAAAGGUAGCAUAAUCAGUAGUUUUUUAAUUGAAAGCUGGAAUGAAAGGUUUGAUGAGAAAAUUUCUGUCUCUAUUUAAAUUUAAUAGAAAUUUAUUUUUAAGUUAAAAAGCBUAAAUUUUUUUAGAAGACGAGAMGACCCUAUAGAGUUUUAUUANUGUAUUAGAUAUAGGCUUUAGUAUUUAAAUAUUUACUUAAUAUAUUAAUUUAGUUGGGGUGAUUGAAAAAUUUAUUAAACUUUUUUUAAUUAUUUAAACAUUAAUUUAUGAGUUUUUGAUCCUUAAUUUAGAUUAAAAGAUAAAUUACCUUAGGGAUAACAGCGUAAUUUUUUUAAAGAGUUCUAAUCGAAAAAAAAGAUUGCGACCUCGAUGUUGGAUUAAAAUUAAAAUUUGGUGUAGAAGCUGAA
rnacentral:rRNA from 1 species